CGACCACCUUUCAUAUCCCCGCCGAAUUAAAAACAAGAUGCCGAACUGUCCUGUGAGGCUGCCUCAGCCCACAGGUAACUGACACUGCCUCUUCCGAACGGCUCUGGCCCCUCUUGCUUCUCCAUCUUCCUACCUUCCCUGCCAUCUGUUCCCGCUGCUCCCGCAGCCUCCCCGCUUUCCUCCCGCCAGGGCCUGUCUGAGCAGACGGGUAUGAGAGCCUCUGAUGAGGUAGGCCUCAGGCCCCUCCAUCACUCCUCGCCACGAGGAAAGCACCAGCUGUCUGGCUUCAUUUGCAUUUUCUCUCCAAAAUAAUGAAAUUAGCCAUGAGUAUCCUGAGGUGAUGCAAGACGCAAAUUUAGGCUGGAUGUGUCAGCGUGUGCUGGGAAGGGAGAGGGAAGGUCACGGAGGAUGCUCGCAGCAUUGAAAUGGAGGGCAAGGCAUCUCCUGCCGGCUGCCAGGGCCCUGUGACCCGGGCAGAGGCCUGACGGGCAUCUGGCUCUCCUGGGCCUCUCAGCCCACACCGCCACCACCUCACCGGGCCGAGACGUGCGGCCCGUGUCCCCACAGACACCCAGAGAGGACACGAGUGUGGCUGAGCUGCCCAGGACCAGCAGCCAGCUCGGGGUGCCGCCGGGCGCAGCUGCAGCGUGAAGGAGCUGCGCGAUGGCCGUGUCUGGCCAGGCUGGCCUGGUCGUCCAUCGUGCCUUUGCCACAGUGCGACUGUUCCUAAUUAUUUCGGUGUUUGCUCAGUCAGGGCUUGUCACAGGUGCUGCUCAGCGCUACUCAUCUCUUCACAUUCCUGAAUGUGUUUCAAAGUAUUUGCUGAAGUGUUUCCCACAGUAUAGAGAACACAUCUGAAGAGGCUGGAGUUCCGGCCUCACAAGCUCUUGCUGUUCUGCGCACAGUCACUGCUUCUUCUGUUUUUACUGUUGUUCAUUCAGGCUGUUGUUCGAAUGGAGUUGGUCUGCUGACUGAAGAACAAUGCUGGUCACUCUUCUUCAAUAAACAAUGCUGGUGACUUCUUUUUCAGGCAGUCAAAAGUGCAAACUGCAAUUCUGCCUCUUCUUCAUUUUGCCUGAAAGGUUUUUUAAACUGGGCAGUGACAAGAUUUCCUCAGCAGCUUCCACAGCUGUGUGUGUAGAUAUGUGAACAUUUGCCUUGGGAACAUGUCCUUAAUAUUAUAUCCUGCUGAUGGAACCAACAACUCUUAACCCAAAGAAAGUAUUUCCCUAUUUGCCAAAGGAAUAAAAUGCUCCUGCAUGUGAUCCCACAUGAAGCCAUCACAGAGCUGAAAAGUCAUCCCUUAUGGUAUCAUCCCUCCUCCUUCGUAUCUUCACCUCUUACCACUGUGCCAAAGCCCAAAACAGUUUCAGUUCUUUCAAUCAGCUCUCCAAUAACUGCAACUUCUGCAUCCAGCUAAGUUUUCUUAGGAGCUAUUCUGUGUGCCUGAGCUCAAAUGCCUAUUCUUAAAAAGUUAUGCUGCUAUGCCUUGCUAGCAGCACUAUUAGCUGAGGUAUCCACAGGUAUCCUAUUUAUUGGCAUAUGGUUUUCAGUGGCAGAACUCGAAUGAGCAAAUUGGAAUCAGCAAAUGUUUCUAGCAGAAGGGAAAAAACUUUGGUCAUAAAGUAAACUUACUAUAAGUGCACAUUGAAAAGGUCUUUUCUAAAGUUUGGCUAUAAAGGAAUCCUACAUUUACAAGACAUUUUUCCCAACAAAACAUGACAUGAGGCAGUUACCUCAGCCUGGGUGCACAUAAAGAAUAUGAGGCCUUUCAGGAAAGGAAAAAUUGACCUAAAAAAAAAAAAAAAUUGGUUUGCCA